UACGUAGGGAGCGAGCGUUAAUCGGAAUUACUGGGCGUAAAGGGUGCGCAGGCGGUUCUGCAAGUCAGGCGUGAAAUCCCCGGGCUUAACCUGGGAAUGGCGCUUGAAACUACGGGACUGGAGUAUGGCAGAGGGAGGUGGAAUUCCACGUGUAGCGGUGAAAUGCGUAGAGAUGUGGAGGAACACCAAUGGCGAAGGCAGCCUCCUGGGCCAACACUGACACUCAUGCACGAAAGCGUGGGGAGCGAACAGG
rnacentral:rRNA from 1 species